rnacentral:rRNA from 1 species
GAUAAACGCUGGCGGCGUGCCUAAUACAUGCAAGUCGAGCGAACGGACGAGAAGCUUGCUUCUCUGAUGUUAGCGGCGGACGGGUGAGUAACACGUGGAUAACCUACCUAUAAGACUGGGAUAACUUCGGGAAACCGGAGCUAAUACCGGAUAAUAUUUUGAACCGCAUGGUUCAAAAGUGAAAGACGGUCUUGCUGUCACUUAUAGAUGGAUCCGCGCUGCAUUAGCUAGUUGGUAAGGUAACGGCUUACCAAGGCAACGAUGCAUAGCCGACCUGAGAGGGUGAUCGGCCACACUGGAACUGAGACACGGUCCAGACUCCUACGGGAGGCAGCAGUAGGGAAUCUUCCGCAAUGGGCGAAAGCCUGACGGAGCAACGCCGCGUGAGUGAUGAAGGUCUUCGGAUCGUAAAACUCUGUUAUUAGGGAAGAACAUAUGUGUAAGUAACUGUGCACAUCUUGACGGUACCUAAUCAGAAAGCCACGGCUAACUACGUGCCAGCAGCCGCGGUAAUACGUAGGUGGCAAGCGUUAUCCGGAAUUAUGGGCUUAAAGCGCGCGUAGCGGUUUUUUAGUCUGAUGUGAAAGCCCACGGCUCAACCGUGGAGGGUCAUUGGAAACUGGAAAACUUGAGUGCAGAAGAGGAAAGUGGAAUUCCAUGUGUAGCGGUGAAAUGCGCAGAGAUAUGGAGGAACACCAGUGGCGAAGGCGACUUUCUGGUCUGUAACUGACGCUGAUGUGCGAAAGCGUGGGGAUCAAACAGGAUUAGAUACCCUGGUAGUCCACGCCGUAAACGAUGAGUGCUAAGUGUUAGGGGGUUUCCGCCCCUUAGUGCUGCAGCUAACGCAUUAAGCACUCCGCCUGGGGAGUACGACCGCAAGGUUGAAACUCAAAGGAAUUGACGGGGACCCGCACAAGCGGUGGAGCAUGUGGUUUAAUUCGAAGCAACGCGAAGAACCUUACCAAAUCUUGACAUCCUUUGACAACUCUAGAGAUAGAGCCUUCCCCUUCGGGGGACAAAGUGACAGGUGGUGCAUGGUUGUCGUCAGCUCGUGUCGUGAGAUGUUGGGUUAAGUCCCGCAACGAGCGCAACCCUUAAGCUUAGUUGCCAUCAUUAAGUUGGGCACUCUAAGUUGACUGCCGGUGACAAACCGGAGGAAGGUGGGGAUGACGUCAAAUCAUCAUGCCCCUUAUGAUUUGGGCUACACACGUGCUACAAUGGACAAUACAAAGGGCAGCGAAACCGCGAGGUCAAGCAAAUCCCAUAAAGUUGUUCUCAGUUCGGAUUGUAGUCUGCAACUCGACUACAUGAAGCUGGAAUCGCUAGUAAUCGUAGAUCAGCAUGCUACGGUGAAUACGUUCCCGGGUCU